CCUGCAGAGCAAGGAGAUCCACAAAGUCAUCCGCUUCAAAUGCGGAUUUUACCCUGCCUCUUCCCGGGGUGACACCUUCAGGAGGGGCCUUCUCCUUCCUUAGCGCCCAUGGUACCUCUCGGGAGCACAUGGCUCUUCAGCUAACUGGCCGCAAAGAGGGAAUUAUGUACAAGCGAAAACUGGAAAGAGCCACCGGGCCCACGGGGGUGGGGCUUCCAGCCGUCAGACCCUCGGACACAGCGCUUGACAGGCGGUCACGAUGCUAAUGGGGAAGGCACCUGCUGAAGUCCAGGGCAGUUUGUCCUCAACUGCCCCCUGGAGCACAGACAGACCUGGCUUGCUGUCCAGCGUGGGACAGUGGCUCAUCCAGGCACGAUCACCACCAGUGGACAAGCGCCGCAUGUGUGUGCCUCCAAACAGGUGCUCUCUGGCCCCUGACAUGCUGCGCAGUCUCAGCUCCAUCUACAAUAGGAGACAGGCGGGCAGGGGCUUGGUUGGCCCUCUUCCAAAGGCAGUCAGUGGGUUGGGAUAUGUGACCCCCGAUGCUGCUCUCUGGGUGAACUGAUCGCCUAAGUGUGCGGAGCUCCUGGGCAGGAGGUGCUGGGGGUCCAAGCCCACAGCACCCGCAGGAACAGGCAGGUGCCCAUGGCUGGAGUGGGCUUUGCAGGCUGGCUCUUGACUGCACUUUAAAAUCAAAUAUGUCACAUUUUUUCAAGAACAGCGAGGCUUCACCAUCUUGUGCAGCCGCUUCCUUUCAAGUUCCAGAACAUUUCCUCACCUCUCAGCCCUGGGCACCACCAUUCUGCUUUCUGGUAUUUUAAUUGAACAUAAGGCACAUUUCUCAAAAGUCAGGUGCACAGAGAUGAUUGUUAAUAAAUGAUAUUUAACCAGUAUUUGCACCAUUUAUGUGAUGGCACACGGUUUCAUCUGCUCACUCACUAAAAUAGAAUGAAGCAGUUAGGAUGACCAACAUAGAAGAGACUAGGAACAACAAAUGCUGGUGAGGAUGCAGAGAAAGGGGAACCCUCCUACACUGCUAGGGGGAAUGUAAGCUAGUUCAACCAUUGUGGAAAGCAAUAUGGAGGUUCCUCAGAAAACUCAAAAUAGAAAUACCAUUUGACCCAGGAAUUCCACUCCUAGGAAUUUAUCCGAAGAAAACAAGAUCACAAAUUCAAGAAGACAUAUGCACCCCUAUGUUUAUCGCAGCAUUAUUUACAAUAGCUGAGAUAUGGAAGCAUCCCAAGUGCCCAUCAGAUAAGGGUGAAUGUAAUAACUACAUUGUUUUUUCAUAUGAAACCUUCAUAAGAGUGUAUAUCAAUAAUGCCUUAAAAAUAAAAAAAAAAAAACCUUUGUUAACUCAUAAUAAGCACAGGCAUCUCCUGGGUACCCCGUCCUCAGGGGAGGUACUCUGACUGAGAGGGGUGGGUGCUGAGCGUGCUGGGAGGGCCUGUGAGGCAUUUGCCUGCAGCCUCUAUUGUUAGUACUUUAGACGGUAUUUUUCCUCUUACAGAUGGAAAGAUGGGCUUUAAUAUGGACAUACGUAAUGCCUUUCCAUGCCUUCCACCCCUGGCUCAAACCCCAGUCUGUGCCCUGAGGGGAGAAUGUACCCCCUUUAGGAGAGGGGUGUUGUGAGGUUCCUGAGAACUUCUGUCUUCCAGCUGAAGGCCGGUCAGCUAUUAGUGGGGGUGUGUCGGUUUCCUGGGACCACAGAAGUGCCACAACCUGACCCUGUGUCUCCAACGGCAGGCAGAAAUGCUGCCGCGGUUGGGCUCCUCCAGCUCCUGGAGGCAGUGAGGACGCUGGCAUUGGCUGGACCCGGGGGCACAUCCCUGCCACCUGAGCCUCCUCGUCGCCUGUCUCCCCCCUGCGUCUUUCCCCUUGUCUUCCAAGGAGGACAUCUGUCAUGGACUUAAGACCACCAGGGUGGUCUCCUCUCAGGACCCUAAUUUCACCUGCAAGGACUCUUUCUCCAAGAAAGGUCAUAGUCAUAGGUUCUGGGCAGACAUGUCUUUGAGGGCCACCAUCCUCCAACUACUUUGAGCUUCCUGGUGAAGAUGGGAUGGCUGUAGUGAGGGGUG